UUUUGGACAAUGGGCGCAAGCCUGAUCCAGCAAUGCCGCGUGAGUGAAGAAGGCCUUCGGGUUGUAAAGCUCUUUUGUCAGGGAAGAAACGGUGAGCUCUAAUACAGUUUGCUAAUGACGGUACCUGAAGAAUAAGCACCGGCUAACUACGUGCCAGCAGCCGCGGUAAUACGUAGGGUGCAAGCGUUAAUCGGAAUUACUGGGCGUAAAGCGUGCGCAGGCGGUUAUGUAAGUCAGAUGUGAAAUCCCCGGGCUCAACCUGGGAAUGGCAUUUGAGACCGCAUGGCUAGAGUGUGUCAGAGGGGGGUAGAAUUCCACGUGUAGCAGUGAAAUGCGUAGAGAUGUGGAGGAAUACCGAUGGCGAAGGCAGCCCCCUGGGAUAACACUGACGCUCAUGCACGAA
rnacentral:rRNA from 1 species